AAGAUGUUUCAUCUAUGAGUGAAGCUUGUAACGAACUAUAUAAAAGGUAAGUGUAAUUGGGGUAUUGUAAAUGGGAUAACCUGAAAUAGUAAGUGGAUUGUAAUUUAGUAAUAUUUUGUGUGGAAAACAAAAGGAAGGAGAUAGCUGAAAUGGACCAAAAGGAAGUUAGGUGCCGAGAGACUCAAAAGGUUAACUCAGACUGGACCAGCUCGAUUUCCACUACAUUUCUUUCGAAUGGUAAUGAGAUUUUGAAAACAUAUAAAUCUUAAAGAAUCAGAAAUAGAAGAAGAAGAACGACCAAUCAAAUUAUGAUUUCAUAGUUUCAUAUUGCAAUCGCGGAUACUGCCAAACCAUGUUACAGGAAUCAAUUGGUGUAAGUGUUUUCCAAUCAAAACAUGGAUUAAUGUUCUUUAUAAUCCACUUCAUGAAAUACAAAUUAAAAUGAAAUUGAAAAAGUGCAUAUGCAUAUAGAAAUCAUUUGUAUACUAAAUUUCUUUCGUCUAUUGCAAAGUUAUAACUGGCGGCGAUAUGUCUCAGCAUUAGUUUGAAUUGUAAUUUCAGUAGCAAAAUUGUAAAAAAAAAGAAAGAAAGAAAGAAAGUGUGAUCUAUAGCAGCUUCAUCUAAAAACAUAAUGAAAUUGGUUGAGAUAUUACUAAAACAAUAUAUAAUAAUACUUUUAAAAAAUCCAGUUUCUAUUAAAAAUAAAAAUUAGACACAUAACCAAGGACGAAUUGGUCUAGUGGUUAAAACUCGUGAACUUUCUAUUAAAAUCUUAAAAAUUACAUUUUCAUGUUUAUUAGGGAUGUUUUACUACUCAAAAGAAAAUUAAACCAUAUGGUAUGCACGCUUUAGAGGAUAUAUGGAUCAAUCAGUUCCUAUGUUUCCUAGUCAUUGAAUUUUUUAUUAAAACAUGUAUGCUAUAACAUCUAUACAGUUAGCUGACUGUAUUUUGCAUAACUAGACAAAUUCCAUCUUGUAAUAUUAUAAAGCAUAUAAUUUUGCAUUCUAGUGUCCAUAGUGGGAAAAUGUAAUCAAAGUACUGUAUGAAGUUAUAUACAAACAUUAUGAGACUUCAAAGUGUUCACUGAGGGAACAUAUAUUAAUAUAGUUUUUGUUUCUUUCCAUUCUCCUAUAAUCAUGCAUUGCAAUCUACACAUCAGUUUAGAUGCCAUAUUUUCAUAUUAUAGUCAUUUGUGUUCGGUGGUUAAUUAAGAAAAAAUUGUGAAAUUUUCUAUCUGAUAUUUAAAAGAAAUUAUUACAAAGCACAGGAUGCUCAUGAAGCUUUAUGCACGCGGUUUCUAAGUACGUUUUUGAGAAACCAUUCGAAUGGAUGGCAAUGAAAGUGGAUCCAUAAUGUGCACAAACAUAUUCUAUUCUCUGUACUACUGCUAAUAAUUUCUAUGUACUACUCUAAUAAUAAUAGCAAAUAUUUUGCGGAUAAUAAGAAACUAUAAUUCAAAGUAUUGUCUCCUAAAGGAUUUUCGGAAAAUAAAUAAAUAUAUAUAUCACUACUAAUGAGUAAUGCCUCUUACCUUCUGCCUAAUUGGUUACAUAUUUAUUUAUUUAAUAAGAGAACAUAGGGUCAAUAAAAGGAAAAAUACAAUGAAGGCAGCAGCAUACGGCGGCCUUCCAAUUACAGAAAGUCCAUAUAUCAUGGAACACUAGGAUCGGCCCGCCCUACGGACGGGAUGUUAAUUUAGAAAUAAUUUAGAUUGUCUGGUUUUUUUUUUAUCUUUGGCUAAAACUGGUUGUUUUUAAAAAGUUUUGUUUUAUAUUAAAAUGAAUCAUUUUUUAAAAAUAGUUUUGUUUAUAUAAGUUAUGUUGUUAUAUUUGAAUCGUGUGUGUGUUUUUUUUUGGUUAUAAUAUACUAAAAUGAAUCAUUUUUAAAAAAAAUAUUUUUUAAUGAAUCUAUAACUAUAUAUUUUAUUUUUAUGUAGUUGUGUUAUUAAUUAUUUUUUUCUAUAUGGGUGUUGAUAAUAGGAAGAGGAUGAUAUUCGGUUACCUAAUUUUGACUCUUCCCGUAUAUAUUAUUUAUGUAAUUUAUUAAUGAUUAUUGAUCGUAAGUUCUCACCCUGUAGUUCUGUUUCUUGACAUCAGAAUAAGGGUAUAUUUUUUCUCAUAAGAAAAACUCGUAGUUUAAAUUAAGAGUCGUAUGCGGAGGAAAUGUAAAAAGAAAACAGAGUGAAGAGUCAAAAUAAUUGGGAUUAUAGUCUUGCAACUGAUGUUUUUGCCGAAGCAUUGGAUUGGAUGAUGAUUGUAGUCUUCGUGAAUUGUUUCCAAAACAUCCGAGCAGUAGGGCCGGUUGCUUUCACUGCAAGGAAUGAAAAGUUUCAGCACCAGUGCCAAGCAAUGGGUGUUGUCAGUUCUUGUGAUCGAAAUUAAGUUGAUAUGGAUGUACUAUCUUAGCGUAUAGAUCUAACCUGAGUUGUCUGAACAUCCUUGAAGAUCUCCUUAUAAACGUUGUUACUCGAGAGUCGAGACAUAGCAACGUACAACUGACCGUGAGUAAAAACAGGGCGAGGAAGAUAUAAAGCAACUUGUUUCAGACUUUGGCCUUGGCUCUUGUUGAUCGUCAUGGCGUAGCACGAUUCUUCUCCUCUGGAGGGUCAGUAACAGUACUCUUGACGCUAAGGAUCUCUCCUAUGAUGUCUACAUUCAGUUUAGUUCCGGUGUGAGUACAACAUGUCAUGUAUAAAGCCAAAUUACGUAAGAAGCCUUUAUUAAAGUACCUGGUAACUGUGUGCUUGUAUUGGCCAAACCAAUCAGCUCCGACUGGUCACGGAACCGGAAUGCUUCCUCAGGCAACGCAGAGACCGGCUCAUCUAUCUCGUCAAAAGAAGUAGACUCAUUAAACCGGAUCAUCAAUGAAGAAUCACAAAGUCGGAAGUUCUGAGCACAUCUAGCGACAUCAAAAUCAGCCAUGGAAUACAUUGCACCGGCAGUAAGUCUUUCUUGGUACCGUGGGACACGGUGAGCGCUGAUUGUGGCCUGCAUCAUGGUUGCCUGUAUAUAACAACAUUUAAAAUAAAAUAUUAGAAAUAAGUCUGCUAAACAACGUUUUCAGAUUCACGAAACCACAAACCACAGGACCACUAUACAGCAAACACAAAUCACGUCUAAACCAAAAUGAUAUACAAAGCAAUCAACCACAUUAUCUAAAAGUUUACUACAACAAAAUUCUCGCAAAACACUUUGAGCAUAUAUGAAAGAGCUCAAUAAUGGAAAAAUUAUGACUUACGUAAAAUUAAAAAGGGUUCCUCAACCGCAAGAUUCUCUAUUAUCUACUUUAUAUAUAAAGAUAAAUAGCUAAGCGGAAAAAAACGAUCCAGUCACUGAUCCUGUUCAAAUACAUGAUCAAACCCACACAAACACACAAUUAACGAUAACAAUCAUGAAGAUCGGAAUUCAAAAAUUCACUUACAUUAACAUCGACCAACAGCAUAUCCACCCACAUAAGCUCCCAACCCCGCUUAACGUUCCUAGCCUCCCAGUACCUCAGCAGCCUAGCCUCCACAACAGAUGAACACUUCCCGGUCUUCAAAUCGGAAAAAAACACCCUAGAGAUGGCCAUUUAGAGAGAUGAGUUGGUAAACCAAUUCUUGAAAUCCAAACAAUUAACUAAUGAACUUUGAGUUUUUAUAGUAUCUUCUUAUUACCGCAUGAGAUGGUGCAUGAUAUGGAAUCGUCUUCCUUUGAUUCUUGAGUAGACUCUCCAGUGGCUUGCUUUUGUUUGAAAGCAUCUUUGAGCUCAAUGAGUAUCUCCAUUUGCUUCUUCAUACACUCUCCUCUCUCCAAGAACUCUUUCUCCUUUGUCUUGUAGAACUGGUUCACUUUGUUAAGCUGUGUGUCCAGACACACAAAAAACUCUUUUGCAGCGUCGGUAUCAUCAGCAAUCUUCUCCAGAAGUUCCGUCUCAUACACGUCACUGUUACUUCCAGAAGAGGCAAGCUUUGUAUGCACCUGUUCAUUAUAUAUAAAAUCAUUAGUACAAAUACAAAAUGAAGAAUUGAUGAAAAAUACAAAAGGAUGAAGGUCAGUUUUAGUACUUUGAUGGCACGAGAGCUUUCGCGUUCUUUGUUUCCGAAAAUGGAAAGCUUUCCUAAAGAGGACUUGAUGGUUUUGAUGAAGGAAGUUUCUGUUUGUUUCUUCUCAACUUUAUUGGUAAGCAAAUGGAUUUUCUUGAGGUCUUUCUUGAGCUGAGAGUAAUCGACAAAGGCGUCUUUCCAUUCAGGUACAAGCUGCCCCUCGAAUUGUUUUGUGAACUUCACCAUACCUCUCCUCUCUUUAAGUCCUUAAACUCAAAAGAAGAAGAAGAGUGUGUGUUUGUUUUGUGAGUGUAGGACAAGAGAAGAGGAUGAGAUUUGUUUUAUAGUGGACAAAAGAAAGGGCAGAGAAAGAGAAGAAUAUAUUUGACUGGGCUUGCUUACUCCUACUGACGAUGCCUCACAAAGCACAUUCUCAAAUAUCCUUAGAAACCAAAUCUCAUGUACUAAUUUUUAUCCUAUGCUUCUUCCACUUGUGCUUUAAGGGAGGUAAAUCUUGUCUCAUGUAGGGACCCUAGAUUCUUGCCGGAAUAUAUAUUCACCGCCGCCGGAGCUUCUUGCACCUCUCUCACCACCUCAAGAUGUUUCAUCUAUGAGUGAAGCUUGUAACGAACUAUAUAAAAGGUAAGUGUAAUUGGGGUAUUGUAAAUGGGAUAACCUGAAAUAGUAAGUGGAUUGUAAUUUAGUAAUAUUUUGUGUGGAAAACAAAAGGAAGGAGAUAGCUGAAAUGGACCAAAAGGAAGUUAGGUGCCGAGAGACUCAAAAGGUUAACUCAGACUGGACCAGCUCGAUUUCCACUACAUUUCUUUCGAAUGGUAAUGAGAUUUUGAAAACAUAUAAAUCUUAAAGAAUCAGAAAUAGAAGAAGAAGAACGACCAAUCAAAUUAUGAUUUCAUAGUUUCAUAUUGCAAUCGCGGAUACUGCCAAACCAUGUUACAGGAAUCAAUUGGUGUAAGUGUUUUCCAAUCAAAACAUGGAUUAAUGUUCUUUAUAAUCCACUUCAUGAAAUACAAAUUACAAUGAAAUUGAAAAAGUGCAUAUGCAUAUAGAAAUCAUUUGUAUACUAAAUUUCUUUCGUCUAUUGCAAAGUUAUAACUGGCGGCGAUAUGUCUCAGCAUUAGUUUGAAUUGUAAUUUCA
rnacentral:lncRNA from 1 species